UACAGAGGAUGCAAGCGUUAUCCGGAAUGAUUGGGCGUAAAGCGUCUGUAGGUGGCUUUUUAAGUCCGCCGUCAAAUCCCAGGGCUCAACUCUGGACAGGCGGUGGAAACUACCAAGCUGGAGUACGGUAGGGGCAGAGGGAAUUUCCGGUGGAGCGGUGAAAUGCGUAGAGAUCGGAAAGAACGCCCGUGGCGAAAGCGAGGUCCUGGACGUUUUCUGACGCUGAGACGCGAAAGCCAGGGGAGCGAACGGG
rnacentral:rRNA from 1 species